rnacentral:rRNA from 1 species
CUCAGGUGAGCGAGAGAACUCUCGUUAAGGAACUCGGCAAAAUGACCCCGUAACUUCGGGAGAAGGGGUGCUGAUGGUAAAAGAUCAGCCGCAGUGAAUAGGCCCAAACAACUGUUUAUCAAAAACACAGGUAUCUGCAAAAUCGUAAGAUGACGUAUAGGUGCUGACACCUGCCCGGUGCUGGAAGGUUAAGAGGAGAGCUUAGCGCAAGCGAAGGUUUGAAUUGAAGCCCCAGUAAACGGCGGCCGUAACUAUAACGGUCCUAAGGUAGCGAAAUUCCUUGUCGGGUAAGUUCCGACCUGCACGAAAGGUGUAAUGAUUUGGGCACUGUCUCAACGAGAGACUCGGUGAAAUUAUAAUACCCGUGAAGAUGCGGGUUACCCGCGACAGGACGGAAAGACCCCAUGGAGCUUUACUGUAGCUUGAUAUUGAGUAUUUGUUAAACAUGUACAGGAUAGGUAGGAGCCAGAGAAAGUAGGACGCUAGUCUUACUGGAGGCAAUGUUGGGAUACUACCCUUGUUUGAUGGAUCCUCUAACUCGCAGAGCUGAGCGUUCUGGAGGACAGUGUCAGGUGGGCAGUUUGACUGGGGCGGUCGCCUCCUAAAAUGUAACGGAGGCGCCCAAAGGUUCCCUCAGAAUGGUUGGAAAUCAUUCGCAGAGUGUAAAGGUAUAAGGGAGCUUGACUGCGAGAGCUACAACUCGAGCAGGGACGAAAGUCGGGCUUAGUGAUCCGGUGGUUCCGCAUGGAAGGGCCAUCGCUCAACGGAUAAAAGCUACCCUGGGGAUAACAGGCUUAUCUCCCCCAAGAGUUCACAUCGACGGGGAGGUUUGGCACCUCGAUGUCGGCUCGUCGCAUCCUGGGGCUGUAGUCGGUCCCAAGGGUUGGGCUGUUCGCCCAUUAAAGCGG